GGUAAUACUCUGAGUGGAACCGUAUAAACUAGCCAUUCCAUCCGGAGGCUGCCUGGGAAAGGCAGAAUGGACCAAAGAACUCUGUCCAGAAAGCCUGGAUAGGUCUCCACAGCCCACUGGAUCAGACAAUUUAGAGCUAGAAGUGACCAUUCCUGCUCCAUUCCAGCCCAGCUUGACCUCACCCUCUGAACUCCCAUCGUAUUGAUGACGGAAUAGAUUUAUUUAUAGCUGACACUUAUAUCAUCCUUUAAAAACCCUUUACAGGGAUAGCUAGAGGGCACAGUGGAUAGAACAUCGUCCCUGGAUUCAGGAAGAUGAGGAAACUGAGGCUGAAGAAGAUUAACACAAUCGAUUCCCCGGUGAACCAUCGAUCGGGCCUCACCUUUAUUUUCCCUGUACAGACGGGAGAUCAAAGCCAUGACCAGAAAUUUUUGCCCCUGGGGCAUAUCAGUUGGAGCCCAGAGCUCAGCACGCCUAGUUCCAGACGUCCAGACCUCGCACUCUAUAAAUCCUUUCUGCCCUUGCCCCAGAGUUGCUGACUAUAUGUAUUUUGGGCCCUGACUUUAAUUCCCUCAUCCUUGACUGGUGACAUUAAGAUUUGUAACUGAUAGAAUGUGUUUUUAAUGUAU